AGUCAAGUGAAUAAGUGCAUCAGGCGGAUGCCUUGGCGAUGAUAGGCGACGAAGGACGUGUAAGCCUGCGAAAAGCGCGGGGGAGCUGGCAAUAAAGCUAUGAUUCCGCGAUGUCCGAAUGGGGAAACCCACUGCAUUCUGUGCAGUAUCCUAAGUUGAAUACAUAGGCUUAGAGAAGCGAACCCGGAGAACUGAACCAUCUAAGUACCCGGAGGAAAAGAAAUCAACCGAGAUUCCGCAAGUAGUGGCGAGCGAACGCGGAGGAGCCUGUACGUAAUAACUGUCGAGAUAGAAGAACAAGCUGGGAAGCUUGACCAUAGCGGGUGACAGUCCCGUAUUCGAAAUCUCAACAGCGGUACUAAGCGUACGAAAAGUAGGGCGGGACACGUGAAAUCCUGUCUGAAUAUGGGGGGACCAUCCUCCAAGGCUAAAUACUCAUCAUCGACCGAUAGUGAACCAGUACCGUGAGGGAAAGGCGAAAAGAACCCCGGGAGGGGAGUGAAACAGAACCUGAAACCUGAUGCAUACAAACAGUGGGAGCGCCCUAGUGGUGUGACUGCGUACCUUUUGUAUAAUGGGUCAACGACUUACAUUCAGUAGCGAGCUUAACCGGAUAGGGGAGGCGUAGGGAAACCGAGUCUUAAUAGGGCGAUGAGUUGCUGGGUGUAGACCCGAAACCGAGUGAUCUAUCCAUGGUCAGGUUGAAGGUGCCGUAACAGGUACUGGAGGACCGAACCCACGCAUGUUGCAAAAUGCGGGGAUGAGCUGUGGGUAGGGGUGAAAGGCUAAACAAACUCGGAGAUAGCUGGUUCUCCCCGAAAACUAUUUAGGUAGUGCCUCGAGCAAGACACUGAUGGGGGUAAAGCACUGUUAUGGCUAGGGGGUUAUUGCAACUUACCAACCCAUGGCAAACUCAGAAUACCAUCAAGUGGUUCCUCGGGAGACAGACAGCGGGUGCUAACGUCCGUUGUCAAGAGGGAAACAACCCAGACCGCCGGCUAAGGUCCCAAAUGAUAGAUUAAGUGGUAAACGAAGUGGGAAGGCACAGACAGCCAGGAUGUUGGCUUAGAAGCAGCCAUCAUUUAAAGAAAGCGUAAUAGCUCACUGGUCGAGUCGUCCUGCGCGGAAGAUGUAACGGGGCUCAAAUCUAUAACCGAAGCUGCGGAUGCCGGUUUACCGGCAUGGUAGGGGAGCGUUCUGUAGGCUGAUGAAGGUGCAUUGUAAAGUGUGCUGGAGGUAUCAGAAGUGCGAAUGUUGACAUGAGUAGCGAUAAAGCGGGUGAAAAGCCCGCUCGCCGAAAGCCCAAGGUUUCCUACGCAACGUUCAUCGGCGUAGGGUAAGUCGGCCCCUAAGGCGAGGCAGAAAUGCGUAGUCGAUGGGAAACAGGUUAAUAUUCCUGUACUUGAUUCAAAUGCGAUGUGGGGACGGAGAAGGUUAGGUUGGCAAGCUGUUGGAAUAGCUUGUUUAAGCCGGUAGGUGGAAGACUUAGGCAAAUCCGGGUUUUCUUAACACCGAGAAGUGAUGACGAGUGUCUACGGACACGAAGCAACCGAUACCACGCUCCCAGGAAAAGCCACUAAGCUUCAGUUUGAAUCGAACCGUACCGCAAACCGACACAGGUGGGCAGGAUGAGAAUUCUAAGGCGCUUGAGAGAACUCGGGAGAAGGAACUCGGCAAAUUGAUACCGUAACUUCGGGAGAAGGUAUGCCCUCUAAGGUUAAGGACUUGCUCCGUAAGCCCCGGAGGGUCGCAGAGAAUAGGUGGCUGCGACUGUUUAUUAAAAACACAGCACUCUGCCAACACGAAAGUGGACGUAUAGGGUGUGACGCCUGCCCGGUGCCGGAAGGUUAAUUGAAGAUGUGCAAGCAUCGGAUCGAAGCCCCGGUAAACGGCGGCCGUAACUAUAACGGUCCUAAGGUAGCGAAAUUCCUUGUCGGGUAAGUUCCGACCCGCACGAAUGGCGUAACGAUGGCCACACUGUCUCCUCCCGAGACUCAGCGAAGUUGAAGUGGUUGUGAAGAUGCAAUCUACCCGCUGCUAGACGGAAAGACCCCGUGAACCUUUACUGUAGCUUUGCAUUGGACUUUGAAGUCACUUGUGUAGGAUAGGUGGGAGGCUUGGAAGCAGAGACGCCAGUCUCUGUGGAGUCGUCCUUGAAAUACCACCCUGGUGUCUUUGAGGUUCUAACCCAGACCCGUCAUCCGGGUCGGGGACCGUGCAUGGUAGGCAGUUUGACUGGGGCGGUCUCCUCCCAAAGCGUAACGGAGGAGUUCGAAGGUUACCUAGGUCCGGUCGGAAAUCGGACUGAUAGUGCAAUGGCAAAAGGUAGCUUAACUGCGAGACCGACAAGUCGGGCAGGUGCGAAAGCAGGACAUAGUGAUCCGGUGGUUCUGUAUGGAAGGGCCAUCGCUCAACGGAUAAAAGGUACUCCGGGGAUAACAGGCUGAUUCCGCCCAAGAGUUCAUAUCGACGGCGGAGUUUGGCACCUCGAUGUCGGCUCAUCACAUCCUGGGGCUGUAGUCGGUCCCAAGGGUAUGGCUGUUCGCCAUUUAAAGUGGUACGUGAGCUGGGUUUAAAACGUCGUGAGACAGUUUGGUCCCUAUCUGCAGUGGGCGUUGGAAGUUUGACGGGGGCUGCUCCUAGUACGAGAGGACCGGAGUGGACGAACCUCUGGUGUACCGGUUGUAACGCCAGUUGCAUAGCCGGGUAGCUAAGUUCGGAAGAGAUAAGCGCUGAAAGCAUCUAAGCGCGAAACUCGCCUGAAGAUGAGACUUCCCUUGCGGUUUAACCGCACUAAAGGGUCGUUCGAGACCAGGACGUUGAUAGGUGGGGUGUGGAAGCGCGGUAACGCGUGAAGCUAACCCAUACUAAUUGCCCGUGAGGCUUGACUCU
rnacentral:rRNA from 1 species